UACGUAGGGUGCGAGCGUUGUCCGGAAUUAUUGGGCGUAAAGGGCUCGUAGGCGGUUUGUCGCGUCGGGAGUGAAAACUCAGGGCUUAACCCCGAGCCUGCAGUGGAUACGGGCAGACUAGAGGUAGGUAGGGGAGAAUGGAAUUCCUGGUGUAGCGGUGAAAUGCGCAGAUAUCAGGAGGAACACCGGUGGCGAAGGCGGUUCUCUGGGCAUGUCCUGACGCUGAGGAGCGAAAGUGUGGGGAGCGAACAGG
rnacentral:rRNA from 1 species